GUUUAUAUAUGAAUAUUGGCCGAGGAAUCUUAGAUUAAUUCAAACCUGAACACUACUGACAGUUCCCAUUUUCUUUCCAAGCAGUCAGAUUUUCAGUCUAAGUAACUCCAUGGGGAGAUUUCUACCAUAUUGUUUCCAGGGUGCAAUUGCUCUAAUAAGAUCAUUAGGAAAAAAAAAAGAAUUCUGGAUUCUAUAAUCCCCUUGUAUAAGUUUCUUCCCAAGAGUGUCUUUCUCUUGGGAUAAGAGAUGGGUCAGCAUGGCAAACUUCAAAUGUACAGCAAUCUGGUUUUGGCGGUUUUUAAAACUAAAGUCUAUGAGUUCAUCUCCUUGUUUUUUGGUCACUCCCUUUCACAUUCAGAAAAUUGCUCUGCAGAAAGCUUUUCAGUUCUAUUUAGGCUUACAAAUAAUUUCUCAGGAGCUGGAGCAAAGGUGAAUUUGAAAGUUUUCAGAUUCUGGGUAGAAGUGAGACUCGCAGCGUGAGGGUGCAGCAGAUUGAGCAAUAACACUGAUUCUACGUGAAACGAACGAAGGUGACCAAGCAGCAAUGGGCUCAAAGCUGCAAGGGUGUUAGGCAACCCAUCUCUCAGGAAAUGCCUCUAACCACCCUUCAUUUGGGGAACAUCCUUGUCCCACUUUUAGCCAGGCAAAGAGCCACUUCUCUGGCUAACUGCUCUGCUGGUUCGUCCCAGUGUGCUCUCAGUCUUAAAGAUCAACCCAACGGCAUGAGCUGUCUCCUUUGGGCAGAAAUCCCUCAGUACUAUUAUUCUAUAAUGAGAGCUGGGGACUCCAGGGCCUUUGAAAGACCUGUGCAAGUCUCCAGAGAAAGAAGGAAGCAGUUAUCACCUAGAUGGGGGCCACUGAAACAUGACUCUUCAACCCAGGACAAGCUUUGCAAGUUCACAGGUGUGAUGCUCCAUCCCCAGCCCCAGUCAGAUCCUAACCGUCCAGAGGUCUCAGGGAAUAAACAAUCACUAGCUCACAGUCCCACUUGGACUCUUCUGGAAAUAAAUGUGCUAAGAGUAUGAUACUUUUGUUUUACGAUUUGCCUUUCCUUAUACUUACCCCUGAACAACAGCUUUUCAAGAGGCCCAAAUAACUUUUCCUAAAAAUGACUUCCCUUCUACGGCAGAGACUGCCACCUACCCCAUCACCUCUUAUUUCUGGGAACAGAGUGAGACCACAUUUCCCAGGAUCCUUUGCAGUUAGGCAGUUAGGGGCAGCGAUGUAACUGAAUUCUGGCCAGUGGAAUGUAGACAGAUACAAUAAUAGCAAUUAGGCCUGGCCCAUAAAAAGUUCCCACCUCUGCACCAUCCUACACCGUCUCUUUUCCCAUCCACCAAAUGAAUGGAAAGGAUUCCACGGAUCUAGAGGAUGGCAGAGCCCCAAGAUGGAAAAAUCUUUUGUCCUGAAUGACUGUGUGGAACACAGUUCCUCUGUCAACCCACAUUGGAUGUGCUAUCACCUCGAAACCUCCAUUAAAUGAUUCCAAAUUGAAAAAGAACAACAAAAGGCUGCCAACGUCUAACUUACACAGGACAGAUGUCUCUUGAUCGAAUCUCACCAGAAGUCGGCCUGAGACCUGCUGCUUCGACUCUGAACUGUCUACAGACAUCCUCACCGCGUCCUCCCCACAAACAUCAAGUUCAAGUGAGUCUCCUAGAAGUCAAGAGCCAACAGGAGCUGGCCGGUGUCAAACAAUAAGCCCACAUGUCUCAGGCCGCCUCUGGAAACACUUCAAUUACUCACCACCUGCUUAUUACAUGGUUCUCAGUACAGCUUUUUCCACUGUCUCCCAAAGAAAAUGUUCAUUGGGAAGUGUCAAGAUCCGACAGGUGGAAAAAUUUCAUCUCUCAGUUGAGAAAAUAGAAGAGGUUAUUUCUAGACUCAGUCAUGGUGCUGGAAGCUAGCAUAUAUUACCCUGGCCCCCUCCUGUCUUCACAUUUGCCCUUUCCUCUCAUGCUGACAUGGCUUAUCCUCAUUGCUGAAGAUGAUCCUUCUACCCACAGCCAGAACUUCCUCUCCUCCAAGCCACACUCCUGAAGAGCCAUGCUCCAGACUGGAGGCAUCUCCGAAGGGAAAAACCAUCUCCUUCUCUUCUGCAUCCUCAGCCCCAAGCUCAUAAGGCCUUCCUGUCACCUACAGGAGCAGUUCUCCGCAAGCUCUGUGAAUUACAACUCUUUUAGAGGCCUCACCACAGCAUGGCUUGAUGAGUGGUGUGUAGGUCCACACCUGGGAUCCAAACCUGCGAACCCUUGGCUGCUGAAGCAGAGCACAUAAACCCACCCACUAUGUCACUAGGCCAGCCCUCA